rnacentral:rRNA from 1 species
AGGGUUUCCGCCCUUUAGUGCUGCAGCAAACGCAUUAAGCACUCCGCCUGGGGAGUACGGCCGCAAGGCUGAAACUCAAAGGAAUUGACGGGGGCCCGCACAAGCGGUGGAGCAUGUGGUUUAAUUCGAAGCAACGCGAAGAACCUUACCAGGUCUUGACAUCCUCUGACAAUCCUAGAGAUAGGACGUUCCCCUUUUAGGGGACAGAGUGACAGGUGGUGCAUGGUUGUCGUCAGCUCGUGUCGUGAGAUGUUGGGUUAAGUCCCGCAACGAGCGCAACCCUUGAUCUUAGUUGCCAGCAUUCAGUUGGGCACUCUAAGGUGACUGCCGGUGACAAACCGGAGGAAGGUGGGGAUGACGUCAAAUCAUCACGCCCCUUAUGACCUGGGCUACACACGUGCUACAAUGGAUGGUACAAAGGGCUGCAAGACCGCGAGGUUUAGCCAAUCCCAUAAAACCAUUCUCAGUUCGGAUUGCAGGCUGCAACUCGCCUGCAUGAAGCCGGAAUCGCUAGUAAUCGCGGAUCACCAUGCCGCGGUGAAUACUUUCCCGGGCCUUGUACACACCGCCCGUCACACCACGAGAGUUUGUAACACCCGAAUUCGGUGGGGUAACCGUA